GGUUAAGCGACUAAGCGUACACGGUGGAUGCCCUGGCAGUCAGAGGCGAUGAAGGGCGUGCUAAUCUGCGAUAAGCGCCGGUAAGGUGAUAUGAACCGUUAUAACCGGCGAUACCCGAAUGGGGAAACCCAGUGUGAUUCGUCACACUAUCAUUAACUGAAUCCAUAGGUUAAUGAGGCGAACCGGGGGAACUGAAACAUCUAAGUACCCCGAGGAAAAGAAAUCAACCGAGAUUCCCCCAGUAGCGGCGAGCGAACGGGGAGGAGCCCAGAGCCUGAAUCAGCAUGUGUGUUAGUGGAAGCGUCUGGAAAGGCGCGCGAUACAGGGUGACAGCCCCGUACACAAAAGCGCAUGUGCUGUGAGCUCGAUGAGUAGGGCGGGACACGUGGUAUCCUGUCUGAAUAUGGGGGGACCAUCCUCCAAGGCUAAAUACUCCUGACUGACCGAUAGUGAACCAGUACCGUGAGGGAAAGGCGAAAAGAACCCCGGCGAGGGGAGUGAAAAAGAACCUGAAACCGUGUACGUACAAGCAGUGGGAGCACCCUUUGGGGUGUGACUGCGUACCUUUUGUAUAAUGGGUCAGCGACUUAUAUUCUGUAGCAAGGUUAACCGUAUAGGGGAGCCGGAGGGAAACCGAGUCUUAACCGGGCGUUAAGUUGCAGGGUAUAGACCCGAAACCCGGUGAUCUAGCCAUGGGCAGGUUGAAGGUUGGGUAACACUAACUGGAGGACCGAACCGACUAAUGUUGAAAAAUUAGCGGAUGACCUGUGGCUGGGGGUGAAAGGCCAAUCAAACCGGGAGAUAGCUGGUUCUCCCCGAAAGCUAUUUAGGUAGCGCCUCGUGAAUUCAUCUCCGGGGGUAGAGCACUGUUUCGGCUAGGGGGCCAUCCCGGCUUACCAACCCGAUGCAAACUGCGAAUACCGGAGAAUGUUAUCACGGGAGACACACGGCGGGUGCUAACGUCCGUCGUGAAGAGGGAAACAACCCAGACCGCCAGCUAAGGUCCCAAAGUCAUGGUUAAGUGGGAAACGAUGUGGGAAGGCCCAGACAGCCAGGAUGUUGGCUUAGAAGCAGCCAUCAUUUAAAGAAAGCGUAAUAGCUCACUGGUCGAGUCGGCCUGCGCGGAAGAUGUAACGGGGCUAAACCAUGCACCGAAGCUGCGGCAGCGACGCUGAUGCGUUGUUGGGUAGGGGAGCGUUCUGUAAGCCUGCGAAGGUGGCCUGUGAGGGUUGCUGGAGGUAUCAGAAGUGCGAAUGCUGACAUAAGUAACGAUAAAGCGGGUGAAAAGCCCGCUCGCCGGAAGACCAAGGGUUCCUGUCCAACGUUAAUCGGGGCAGGGUGAGUCGACCCCUAAGGCGAGGCCGAAAGGCGUAGUCGAUGGGAAACGGGUUAAUAUUCCCGUACUUGGUGUUACUGCGAAGGGGGGACGGAGAAGGCUAUGUUGGCCGGGCGACGGUU
rnacentral:rRNA from 3 species